CCUACGGGUGGCAGCAGUGGGGGAUAUUGCACAAUGGGGGGAACCCUGAUGCAGCGACGCCGCGUGGGUGAAGGAGUGCUUCGGCAUGUAAAGCCCUAUCGGCAGGGAAGAAGCAAGACGGUACCUGACUAAGAAGCCCCGGCUAACUACGUGCCAGCAGCCGCGGUAAUACGUAGGGGGCGAGCGUUAUCCGGAUUCAUUGGGUGAAAGGGGUGCGCAGGCGGUCUGUAAAGUCAGCGGUCAAAGCCCGGGGCCCACCCCCGGCCCGCCGUUGAAACUGGCAGUCUCGAGUUGGAGAGAAGUAUGCGGAAUGCGCGGUGUAGCGGUGAAAUGCAUAGAUAUCGCGCAGAACUCCGAUUGCGAAGGCAGCAUGCCGGCUCCACACUGACGCUGAGGCACGAAAGCGUGGGUAUCGAACAGGAUUAGAUACCCCAGUAGUC
rnacentral:rRNA from 1 species